CCUACGGGUGGCAGCAGUGGGGAAUAUUGGUCAAUGGCCGGAAGCCUGAACCAGCCAAGUCGCGUGAGGGACGACUGCCCUAUGGGUUGUAACCCUCUUUUAUAGGGGAGGAAUAAGUGCUACGUGUAGCAUGAUGCCUGUACCUUAUGAAUAAGCAUCGGCUAACUCCGUGCCAGCAGCCGCGGUAAUACGGGGGAUGCGAGCGUUGUCCGGAUUUAUUGGGUUAAAGGGGUGCUUAGGCGGUUUUCUAAGUUAGUGGUAAAACGUCGGGGCUUCACCUUGAUUUGCCAUUAAUACUGUAAGACUCGAGUUCUGACGAGGUAGGCGGAAUAAGUUAAGUAGCGGUGAAAUGCUUAGAUAUAACUUAGAACUCCGAUAGCGAAGGCAGAUUACUAGACUGCGACUGACGCUGAAGCACGAGAGCGUGGGUAGCGAACAGGAUUAGAUACCCGUGUAGUC
rnacentral:rRNA from 1 species